rnacentral:rRNA from 1 species
CCUACGGGAGGCUGCAGUGAGGAAUAUUGGUCAAUGGGCGUAAGCCUGAACCAGCCAAGUCGCGUGAGGGAUGAAGGUUCUAUGGAUCGUAAACCUCUUUUAUAAGGGAAUAAAGUGCGGGACGUGUCCCGUUUUGUAUGUACCUUAUGAAUAAGGAUCGGCUAACUACGUGACAGCAGCCGCGGUAAUACGGAGGAUCCGAGCGUUAUCCGGCUUUAGUGGGUUUAAAGGGUGCGUAGGCGGCCCUGUAAGUCAGCGGUGAAAGUCUGUGGCUCAACCAUAGAAUUGCCGUUGAAACUGGGAUGCUUGAGUAUGUUUGAGGCAGGCGGAAUGCGUGGUGUAGCGGUGAAAUGCUUAGAUAUCACGCAGAACCCCGAUUGCGAAGGCAGCCUGCCAAGCCAUGACUGACGCUGAUGCACGAAAGCGUGGGGAUCAAACAGGAUUAGAUACCCCGGUAGUC